CCGAGACCCAGCCCGGACGGAGCAACAGGUUGGCGAAACCCUGUGUCCUUGGAGGAAGCUGGUUCCUGUUUUCCUGAGGGAGUAGCCCGGAGUGCGGAAGGAAGCCAAGAGUGUACAGAGUUGAUGGUGGGAACGCGGGCAGAGGAAGCCCCUCGGGAAGUCCAGCUGCAGAGAUAGCCACCUCAGUGCUAUUUACAUAGAGCUAUAUAUAUACAAAACAGGAGAAAAAUACAAAAUUCCGUAUCUGUGCAUGCCUGCGGGGGACGUGGUCCCUUUCCUUUCCACGCAACCUUGCGAUGUGAACUCUGAGACUUUGUGAUGUCUAGGGUGGCAGGGGAGAGAGAUGCUUGCUGCUGCGCGUGCAGGGAACUUACGUGGACCUGUGGGAUCGGCCUCAGUGUGGACCAACUGCUCAGCACAGAUGCUGGUGUGGAGUAGAGGGAACUCAGCGGCCGAAGGCAAGAUGGACAAGACAGAGGGGACGUGGGGCCCGUUUUGUUGGGGGCAGCCUGGGAUCCCUCCAUUUCUUGACAUGUCCUAGCCUCUCACUGUCCCCGUUGAGUCAGCUCUCUAGAUCUCAUGGCGGUCAUAGCCAGAGAAACGGGAUGUCAUUUUCUUUCCCUACCUACAAGUGUGUCUGGUGCUUCUCUUCACAGUUUCUUGGUGCUAAGUGUAUCCUUCUUGGUACAGACAGAGUCUUACAGACAGACCGGGAAGGCCAGGGGAUGAGACGUUUCUAUUUUGCUCUUUGGAUAGACUCUCGUUGCUUUUUUAAAAAAGGGCCAGGUGACAAGAUUGCCACUGGAAAGUCUCUCUCUGGGGGGAGGGGUGGUGCUCACAGGGCUUAAGAGCAGCCCCUCCCCCAGGGGGCAGGGCUACGAAGGGGAGGGGCGGGCCUUAUACAGGAGCUGCUUUGGAGGUGGCAGUCCCUCCUCUCCCUGCAGCAGCACUCUGGGAGACUGCUGUGGACUCCUCCAAUUUCCUAAGGGGAUUCAGGGCUUAGGUUUUUGUAGAUUCAAGAGCCAAGAAAUAGCUGCGUUCUGACGGAGCGUGAUUUCUAAGCAGGGGAUGUGGGGGGAGGGGGGCGGACCGUUUAAAUGAAAUGUCCGAUUUCCCCUGCUCCCCAAACACACGGAAUAAGCUACUGUUUUCAGAAGUUUCUAGAAGGGCUAAUAUAAAUAUAAAUAUAUAUACACAAAUAUAACGAAGCUGAGCGCUAGACUGACAUUUGGCUGCAGUGGCUCACGGCUUCAGGACUGGUGGC
rnacentral:lncRNA from 1 species